UACGUAGGGGGCAAGCGUUUGUCCGGAUUUAUUGGGCGUAAAGAGCGUGUAGGCGGCCAGAUAGGUCCGUUGUGAAAACUGGAGGCUUAACCUCCAGCUGUCGAUGGAAACCAUCUGGCUAGAGUCCGGAAGAGGAGAGUGGAAUUCCUGGUGUAGCGGUGAAAUGCGCAGAUAUCAGGAAGAACACCCGUGGCGAAGGCGGCUCUCUGGGACGGUACUGACGCUGAGACGCGAAAGCGUGGGGGAGCGAACAGG
rnacentral:rRNA from 1 species